rnacentral:rRNA from 1 species
ACACAUUAGAUACCCCUGUAGUCCUGGCCGUAAACGAUGUGGACUUGGUGUUUGGAAAUGGCUCCGAGCUGCUCCAGUGCCGAAGGGAAGCUGUUAAGUCCACCGCCUGGGAAGUACGGUCGCAAGACUGAACUUAAAGGAAUUGCGGGGGAGCACCACAACGCGUGGAGCCUGCGGUUUAAUUGGAUUCAACGCCCGGACAUCUCACCAGGGGCGACAGCAGAAUGAUGGCCAGGUUGAUGACCUUGCUUGACAAGCUG